rnacentral:rRNA from 1 species
GACAGAGGUCCCGAGCGUUAGGCGGAAUCACUGGGCUUAAAGCGUGUGUAGGCGGAUCGUUAAGUGCCUUGUGAAAUCCCACGGCUUAACCGUGGAAACUGCUUGGCAUACUGGCGGUCUUGAGCCACUUAGGGGCAACCGGAACAAAUGGUGAGCGGUGAAAUGCGUAGAUAUCAUUUGGAACGCCAAUGGUGAAAACAGGUUGCUGGGAGUGUGCUGACGCUGAGACACGAAAGCCAGGGGAGCGAACGGG